rnacentral:misc_RNA from 1 species
AGUCAGACAAGCUAUCGCCUCCUUUCUUGGCAACAGGUUUCCGCACUGAAGGCGUCUGCUUCUCUCGAACAUUUCUUGCUCUGAAAUGACGACGAGAUGGUCGCUAGAAUGUGUUUGGGGGCCGUGGAGGUGCUUUGGGUUUUCGCGGAUCUCUUCUGAUCCCCGUGACUUUAAGUGCAUGCUGCGCCGUCCGUCAUCUCGUGACGUCUCGGUGCCCGGAACAGCUCUGACUAUUUUGUUUUCCGGGCACUAGCGACAGGCGAGAGAAGUUUGAUUCUCUCCUAACCGACGCCGCCGGCCGUCGUGCUGGACUCGGAUUGAUCGGAUAUCAUCGAGCCGCCGGCGUGCUGGAAGCUGCGUGGGAGAAAUGAAGCUCAUGACGGCGCCCAGUUAAAAACCAAAGCAAGUGCGCUCGCAUAGCGCUGCUUGCUUUUGUUUCAUAUA